rnacentral:rRNA from 1 species
UCCUACGGGGGGCAGCAGUAGGGAAUUUUCGUCAAUGAGCGCAAGCCUGAACGAGCAAUGCCGCGUGAACGAGGAAGGUCUUCGGAUCGUAAAGUUCUGUUGAAGGGGAAAAAGAGCGGAGAGAGGAAAUGGUCUCCGAUUGAUAUUACCCUUCGAGGAAGUCACGGCUAACUACGUGCCAGCAGCCGCGGUAAUACGUAGGUGGCGAGCGUUAUCCGGAAUGAUUGGGCGUAAAGGGUGCGUAGGCGGCCUGCUAAGUCUGGAGUGAAAGGUACCGGCUCAACCGGUACAGGCUCUGGAAACUG